rnacentral:rRNA from 1 species
GAUGAACGCUGGCGGCGUGCCUAAUACAUGCAAGUCGAGCGAACAGACUAGGAGCUUGCUCCUCUGACGUUAGCGGCGGACGGGUGAGUAACACGUGGAUAACCUACCUAUAAGACUGGGAUAACUUCGGGAAACCGGAGCUAAUACCGGAUAAUAUAUUGAACCGCAUGGUUCAAUAGUGAAAGACGGUUUUGCUGUCACUUAUAGAUGGAUCCGCGCCGCAUUAGCUAGUUGGUAAGGUAACGGCUUACCAAGGCAACGAUGCGUAGCCGACCUGAGAGGGUGAUAGGCCACACUGGAACUGAGACAAGGUCCAGACUCCUACGGGAGGCAGCAGUAGGGAAUCUUCCGCAAUGGGCGAAAGCUUGACGGAGCAACGCCGCGUGAGUGAUGAAGGUCUUCGGAUCGUAAAACUCUGUUAUUAGGGAAGAACAAAUGUGUAAGUAACUAUGCACGUCUUGACGGUACCUAAUCAGAAAGCCACGGCUAACUACGUG